AUGGAUACAAAAAUCCUAAACUGGAAUGUUAGAGGCCUCAACAGUCUGGCCCGGAGAAGGGCUGUCCACAAUUUAAUCUGCAGCUCUGCCUGUAAUAUCGUCUGUCUUCAGGAGAACAAAUUGGCUGUGGUGGACAAAUACAUCGUGGCCGAGUGCCUGGGCAGUAACUUCUCGGACAAUUUUAUUGCAAAGGAGGCUGUUGGUUCGCGUGGCGGAAUAAUU
rnacentral:rRNA from 1 species